AGUGAACGCUGGCGGCGUGCCUAACACAUGCAAGUCGAACGAUGAUUGAGAGCUUGCUCUCAUGAUUAGUGGCGCACGGGUGAGUAUACCAUAGAUAAUGUACCUCUUAGUUCGGGAUAGCCACUGGAAACGGUGAUUAAUACCGGAUACUCCUUCUUGUCUCAAGGCAAGUCGGGAAAGUUUUUUCGCUAAGAGAUCAGUCUAUGUCCUAUCAGCUAGUUGGUGAGGUAAUGGCUCACCAAGGCAAUGACGGGUAUCUGGUUUGAGAGGAUGAUCAGACACACUGGAACUGAGACACGGUCCAGACUCCUACGGGAGGCAGCAGUGAGGAAUAUUGCACAAUGGAGGAAACUCUGAUGCAGCAACGCCGCGUGGAGGAUGACGCAUUUCGGUGUGUAAACUCCUUUUAAGAGGGAAGAUAAUGACGGUACCUCUUGAAUAAGCACCGGCUAACUCCGUGCCAGCCGCCGCCGUAA
rnacentral:rRNA from 1 species